GGGGGGGGGGGGGGGGGGGGGGGGCGGGGGGGGGGCGGGGGGGGGCGGCGUAGGAGCUUGGUCGGGCGGGUGGCGGGGGGCGGGCGGGUGCGGAAUACAGCGGACUCUGCUUUUUCUUGGGGGAGGCCGGAGGGAAACUUAGGCUAAUACCGCGGACUACCUACGGGUGGACGCAGGGGGUCUUCGGCCCUUGCGCGCUUGGCUGCGCCGAUGUCGGAUUAGCUAGUUGGCGGGGUAAAGGCCCACCAAGGCGACGAUCCGUAGCUGGUCUGAUAGGAUGAUCAGCCACACUGGAACUGAGACACGGUCCAGACUCCUACGGGAGGCAGCAGUGGGGAAUAUUGGACAAUGGGCGCAAGCCUGAUCCAGCCAUACCGCGUGGGUGAAGAAGGCCUUCGGGUUGUAAAGCCCUUUUGUUGGGAAAGAAAAGCAGCAGGUUAAUACCCCGCUGUUCUGACGGUACCCAAAGAAUAAGCACCGGCUAACUUCGUG
rnacentral:rRNA from 1 species